CCCCCCCUCGGAGUACGGCCGCAAGGUUAAAACUCAAAUGAAUUGACGGGGGCCCGCACAAGCGGUGGAGCAUGUGGUUUAAUUCGAUGCAACGCGAAGAACCUUACCUACUCUUGACAUCCAGAGAAUUCGCUAGAGAUAGCUUAGUGCCUUCGGGAACUCUGAGACAGGUGCUGCAUGGCUGUCGUCAGCUCGUGUUGUGAAAUGUUGGGUUAAGUCCCGCAACGAGCGCAACCCUUAUCCUUUGUUGCCAGCGCGUAAUGGUGGGAACUCAAAGGAGACUGCCGGUGAUAAACCGGAGGAAGGUGGGGAUGACGUCAAGUCAUCAUGGCCCUUACGAGUAGGGCUACACACGUGCUACAAUGGCGUAUACAAAGAGAAGCGAACUCGCGAGAGCAAGCGGACCUCAUAAAGUACGUCGUAGUCCGGAUCGGAGUCUGCAACUCGACUCCGUGAAGUCGGAAUCGCUAGUAAUCGUAGAUCAGAAUGCUACGGUGAAUACGUUCCCGGGCCUUGUACACACCGCCCGUCACACCAUGGGAGUGGGUUGCAAAAGAAGUAGAGGUUAACCUUCGGGAGGGCGCUUACCACUUUGUGAUUCAUGACUGGGGUGAAGUCG
rnacentral:rRNA from 1 species